GCCCGGGUGGAGGAAUGGCAGACUCAAACGACUUAAGAUCGUUCGCCGCAAGGCAUGCCGGUUCAAGUCCGGCCCCGGGCA
rnacentral:tRNA from 1 species